AUACCAGACUCCUACGGGAGGCAGCAGUGGGGGAUAUUGCACAAUGGGGGGAACCCUGAUGCAGCGACGCCGCGUGGGUGAAGAAGCGCCUCGGCGCGUAAAGCCCUGUCAGCAGGGAAGAAAAUGACGGUACCUGAAGAAGAAGCCCCGACUAACUACGUGCCAGCAGCCGCGGUAAUACGUAGGGGGCGAGCGUUAUCCGGAUUCACUGGGUGUAAAGGGGGCGCAGACGGCAGCGCAAGCCAGGAGUGAAAGCCCGGGGCCCAACCCCGGGACUGCGCUUGGAACUGCGCGGCUGGAGUGCAGGAGGGGCAGGCGGAAUUCCUGGUGUAGCGGUGAAAUGCAUAGAUAUCACGCAGAACUCCGAUUGCGAAGGCAGCUUACUAAGCCAUAACUGACACUGAAGCACGAAAGCGUGGGGAUCAAACAGGAUUAGAUACCCGAGUAAC
rnacentral:rRNA from 1 species